CGGCAGGCCGAGGCGCGCGGCGGCCUCCGCGGCCUUGCGCGCCGCGGUGAUCGAGGAAUCGACCCGCGACAUCUGCCCGGCGCCGAUGCCGACCGU
rnacentral:tRNA from 1 species